CUGUCACGAAUGUGUAGUAACAGACUCUCAUCCUGUCUUUCUUCAGCAGCAAGAAGUAACUUCCCUGCAUGUUCACUGCAGCUAGAUGGGCAAAUGACUCCCUCCUGUGAUGGAAUCAAAUUCAGCAUUCAAGAUUCAGAUUUGAAGUUCAAGAUCCACAUUUACAGUUUCACACUGCAUGUUUGAUA